GAGAGAGAGAGAGAGAGAGAGAGAUACCACCUGGAUCUGCCAAAAAUGUCUCAACACAGUAAAAGCCAUCAACAACAGCGAAAAGAGCUCAUUUGGGGAGCCAAUAACGCAAAUUUGGAGGCCCUAAGUCAAUAAAAUUAGAGAGAGAAACAUCGGUCAGGAGACAUCAGAAAACAGUUUGGGAGAUUUGAACCGGGCAGAACGGUCAAUUUACAUCGAACAAACCAUUUUUUUUUCUGACGGAUGAGCA
rnacentral:lncRNA from 1 species